rnacentral:lncRNA from 1 species
CAAACCCAAAAUCAAACAUUCAAGAAUACUGGAGGAUUCUUGAUUUCUGCUCUCACCACCCGGAGAGCUUGCACACCUUCAUGUACUUCUUUGACGACAUCGGUGUUCCGGUCGACUACCGGCACAUGGAAGGAUUUGGUGUCAACACUUUCUCCUUCUUCAACAAAGCUGGUAAGAUGCUGUACGUGAAGUUCCACUGGAAACCCGCUCGUGAAAAAGUGAUGGGUAUGUCCGACGAGGAAGCCAUAAGAAUCGGCGGAACCAACCACAGCCACGCCACCCAAGAUCUGUACGAGUCGAUCAAGGCCGGAAACUACCCUGAAUGGAAGCUUUACGUGCAGACAAUGGACCCUGCUGAUGAAGACAGGUUUGACUUCGAUCCGCUUGAUAUGACCAAGAUUUGGCCGGAGGAUAUCUUCCCGUUGCAACCGGUGGGUCGGAUGGUACUAAACCGGAAUGUUGAUAAUUUCUUUGCUGAGAAUGAGCAGUUGGCUUUCUCCCCUGCUCAUGUCGUCCCUGGAAUCUAUUACUCCGACGACAAGCUGCUUCAAUGUCGAAUCUUCGCCUACGAUGACACCCAGAGGCACCGGCUUGGACCAAA